AUAGCUUACUUGUACUGUGGUGGGCUUUAACUUUAACCUUUUGGAAGCUGGCUCUCUUGUUGUACCUUGUGUAUCAGGGUUUACUAAAUUUUAUCAUUUAUUUUUAUUUCCCGAUCUUGAGGGAGCUAGUGUGUUAUCUUAUUUAUUGUUGCAUUAAUAAUUUGUAAUAUCUUGUUGGCAGUGAAAUGUUAUUCGUCUUUAAUGGUUUCUGGUUUUCCAAGAAAUGAAUUCAAUUCAGGUAUCUUAUUUAGUUCUUUACUUUUUUCGGUUUGGGGUUUAUUUUAUGCUAAUAUUAGGGGGGAUUAGCUCCUUUUUAUAAAGCAAUAUUUUUUUAUUCUGUGCAAUUUUGUGGAUUUCAUGGUGAUUCUCUAUUUGAUUAUGUUAAAGUUUUAUUGCUUGUUGUCUGUUUUUUCUAGUUGAUUUGAUAUUUAUUGGAAUGUUAUUUUUAAUGGUUUAUGGUUUGUAAUUAUUGUAGGAUUAGUAUAUUUUUUGUUUGGUGUCUGUUUGGUUAAUUUUAAUUUUCUUUUGAGGAAUUAGGCAAAGUUUUUAUGCCCGCCUGUUUAACAAAAACAUCUCUUCUUGUCAGUUUUUGAAGUAUGACCUGCCCCCUGAUGAUUGUUAUGAUUUAAAGGGCCGCGGUAUACUGACCGUGCAAAGGUAGCAUAAUCAUUAGUUCUUUAAUUGUGAUCUGGUAUGAACGGUUUGACGAGGUAUAGUCUGUCUUAAAUGGAUCUUUUUGGAAUUUGGUUUCUUAGUUAGAAUUCUUAGAUGGUUUUGUGGGACGAGAAGACCCUAUAGAGUUUUACAUUUUACUUUCUUUGCGUGUUUGGGGCUUAUUUAGCGAAGGGUUUAUAUUUGUUUUGUUGGGGCGAUGGGAGGGAUUUGGUUAACCCCUCCUUUAUUUAUGGUUACACUUAUUUUUGGUUUUUUGAUCCUUUUUUUGAGAUUGUAAGAUUAAACUACCUUAGGGAUAACAGCGUUAUUCUCCCUGAGAGUUCUUAUCGACGGGGGAGAUUGCGACCUCGAUGUUGGAUUAAGGUUUAUUUUUGGUGUAGAAGCUGGAAAGGGUUAUUGGGUCUGUUCGACCCUUAAAAUCUUACAUGAUCUGAGUUCAAACCGGCGUGAGCCAGGUUGGUUUCUAUCUACAAUGAGAUUUAUGUCUUAGUACGAGAGGACCAGGCAUUUGGAAUAAUUCCAUUUUAAUUGAUUUUUAUUAAU
rnacentral:rRNA from 1 species